AUAAUGGGUCAGCGACUUAUAUUCUGUAGCAAGGUUAACCGAAUAGGGGAGCCGAAGGGAAACCGAGUCUUAACUGGGCGUUAAGUUGCAGGGUAUAGACCCGAAACCCGGUGAUCUAGCCAUGGGCAGGUUGAAGGUUGGGUAACACUAACUGGAGGACCGAACCGACUAAUGUUGAAAAAUUAGCGGAUGACUUGUGGCUGGGGGUGAAAGGCCAAUCAAACCGGGAGAUAGCUGGUUCUCCCCGAAAGCUAUUUAGGUAGCGCCUCGUGAAUUCAUCUCCGGGGGUAGAGCACUGUUUCGGCAAGGGGGUCAUCCCGACUUACCAACCCGAUGCAAACUGCGAAUACCGGAGAAUGUUAUCACGGGAGACACACGGCGGGUGCUAACGUCCGUCGUGAAGAGGGAAACAACCCAGACCGCCAGCUAAGGUCCCAAAGUCAUGGUUAAGUGGGAAACGAUGUGGGAAGGCCCAGACAGCCAGGAUGUUGGCUUAGAAGCAGCCAUCAUUUAAAGAAAGCGUAAUAGCUCACUGGUCGAGUCGGCCUGCGCGGAAGAUGUAACGGGGCUAAACCAUGCACCGAAGCUGCGGCAGCGACGCUGAUGCGUUGUUGGGUAGGGGAGCGUUCUGUAAGCCUGUGAAGGUGUGCUGUGAGGCAUGCUGGAGGUAUCAGAAGUGCGAAUGCUGACAUAAGUAACGAUAAAGCGGGUGAAAAGCCCGCUCGCCGGAAGACCAAGGGUUCCUGUCCAACGUUAAUCGGGGCAGGGUGAGUCGACCCCUAAGGCGAGGCCGAAAGGCGUAGUCGAUGGGAAACAGGUUAAUAUUCCUGUACUUGGUGUUACUGCGAAGGGGGGACGGAGAAGGCUAUGUUGGCCGGGCGACGGUUGUCCCGGUUUAAGCGUGUAGGCUGGUUUUCCAGGCAAAUCCGGAAAAUCAAGGCUGAGGCGUGAUGACGAGGCACUACGGUGCUGAAGCAACAAAUGCCCUGCUUCCAGGAAAAGCCUCUAAGCAUCAGGUAACAUCAAAUCGUACCCCAAACCGACACAGGUGGUCAGGUAGAGAAUACCAAGGCGCUUGAGAGAACUCGGGUGAAGGAACUAGGCAAAAUGGUGCCGUAACUUCGGGAGAAGGCACGCUGAUAUGUAGGUGAAGUCCCUCGCGGAUGGAGCUGAAAUCAGUCGAAGAUACCAGCUGGCUGCAACUGUUUAUUAAAAACACAGCACUGUGCAAACACGAAAGUGGACGUAUACGGUGUGACGCCUGCCCGGUGCCGGAAGGUUAAUUGAUGGGGUCAGCGCAAGCGAAGCUCUUGAUCGAAGCCCCGGUAAACGGCGGCCGUAACUAUAACGGUCCUAAGGUAGCGAAAUUCCUUGUCGGGUAAGUUCCGACCUGCACGAAUGGCGUAAUGAUGGCCAGGCUGUCUCCACCCGAGACUCAGUGAAAUUGAACUCGCUGUGAAGAUGCAGUGUACCCGCGGCAAGACGGAAAGACCCCGUGAACCUUUACUAUAGCUUGACACUGAACAUUGAGCCUUGAUGUGUAGGAUAGGUGGGAGGCUUUGAAGUGUGGACGCCAGUCUGCAUGGAGCCGGCCUUGAAAUACCACCCUUUAAUGUUUGAUGUUCUAACGUUGACCCGUGAUCCGGGUUGCGGACAGUGUCUGGUGGGUAGUUUGACUGGGGCGGUCUCCUCCUAAAGAGUAACGGAGGAGCACGAAGGUUGGCUAAUCCUGGUCGGACAUCAGGAGGUUAGUGCAAUGGCAUAAGCCAGCUUGACUGCGAGCGUGACGGCGCGAGCAGGUGCGAAAGCAGGUCAUAGUGAUCCGGUGGUUCUGAAUGGAAGGGCCAUCGCUCAACGGAUAAAAGGUACUCCGGGGAUAACAGGCUGAUACCGCCCAAGAGUUCAUAUCGACGGCGGUGUUUGGCACCUCGAUGUCGGCUCAUCACAUCCUGGGGCUGAAGUAGGUCCCAAGGGUAUGGCUGUUCGCCAUUUAAAGUGGUACGCGAGCUGGGUUUAGAACGUCGUGAGACAGUUCGGUCCCUAUCUGCCGUGGGCGCUGGAGAACUGAGGGGGGCUGCUCCUAGUACGAGAGGACCGGAGUGGACGCAUCACUGGUGUUCGGGUUGUCAUGCCAAUGGCACUGCCCGGUAGCUAAAUGCGGAAGAGAUAAGUGCUGAAAGCAUCUAAGCACGAAACUUGCCCCGAGAUGAGUUCUCCCUGACUCCUUGAGAGUCCUGAAGGAACGUUGAAGACGACGACGUUGAUAGGCCGGGUGUGUAAGCGCAGCGAUGCGUUGAGCUAACCGGUACUAAUGAACCGUGAG
rnacentral:rRNA from 1 species